rfam:Legionella londiniensis strain ATCC 49505 Llon_ctg001, whole genome shotgun sequence.
CCUGGCGACCAUAGCAUCAUGGAACCACCUGACCCCAUCCCGAACUCAGCAGUGAAACUUGAUAGCGCCGAUGAUAGUGUGGGGCCUCCCCAUGCGAAAGUAGGUCAUCGCCAGGG